CACAGGGUGAUUGAAUACUGAAUGCAAAACUUGUUCUGAAUGUUAGAAAUCACCAAGAAUUUCAAAUCCAUAUGUUAAACUUUCAAAAAGUGGUUUAAGAGAUGCUUUUGGGGUAUAUCCUCCAUGUUGUGCACUUGAAACAUUACUAUGUUGCAUUGCCAUAGCAGGGGGAUUUAAAUGUGAGAAUUGAGUGAGGUAGGUGCAGUCAUUGUCCCCCCCUCUGCCUUAAGCCAUCAAACCUGUUAUUUUGUGUGUUAUUUUUUUCUAGACCAAAGUUUAGAACUUGUGUGGAGUCAGCCUAUAAAUAUUAAUGCACCAUACCUGAAAAAGGAAUAAGAUACAGAUUGAAAAGAAGAGGCUUUCUGGUGAAGUCUAAGAGUUUAGAGGAUCCACAGUGGAAGCUGUAUCUCAAAACUCAGAACGUUUGGAAGAACUCAGUAGGU
rnacentral:lncRNA from 1 species